rnacentral:rRNA from 1 species
CGGCGAGUGAAGCGGCAGAGCUCAAAUUUGAAAUCCGGCCCCCCUGGGGGCCUGAGUUGUAAUUUGCAGAGGAUGCUUCGGGCGCGACCGCGGUCCAAGUCCCCUGGAACGGGGCGUCGUAGAGGGUGAGAAUCCCGUCUCCGGCCGGCCGGUCUCGCCCGUGUGAAGCUCCUUCGACGAGUCGAGUUGUUUGGGAAUGCAGCUCCAAAUGGGUGGUAAAUUUCAUCUAAAGCUAAAUACUGGUCGGAGACCGAUAGCGCACAAGUAGAGUGAUCGAAAGAUGAAAAGCACUUUGAAAAGAGAGUUAAACAGCAUGUGAAAUUGUUGACAAGGGAAGCGCUUGCGACCAGAGUCGGCCGCGGGGGUUCAGCGGGCAUUCGUUGCCUGUGCAAUCCCCCGCGGCCGGGCCAGCGUCGGUUUCGACGGCCGGUCAAAGGCCCCCGGAAUGUGUCGCCUCUCGGGGCGUCUUAUAGCCGGGGGUGCAAUGCGGCCAGUCGGGACCGAGGAACGCGCUCCGGCACGGACGCUGGCUUAAUGGUCGUCAGCGACCCGUCUUGAAACACGGACCAAGGAGUCUAACAUCCACGCGAGUGUUCGGGUGUCAAACCCCGUCCGCGCAGUGAAAAGCGAACGGAGGUGGGAACCCCUGAGGGUGCACCAUCGACCGAUCCCUGAAGUCCUUCGGAUGGAUUUGAGUAGAGCCGUGGGUUGUUGGGACCGAAAGA